rnacentral:misc_RNA from 1 species
UUUUUUUUCAGAAUUAAGAUGAAUAAUGGGCUCUUGAUAGUGUGGACUCUCUUAGUACACACAGGUUCGUUUGUUAGACGAAGUGCAGAAGAAUGUGCUAAGGCUAAAGAAGAAUAUUAUCUAGAGAAAUAUAUUGAUCUAUUGCUGGGAACCAAUACUGCUACUAAGAAACCUAAACCACUCAGGGGUCGCGCAAGAAAACCAUCUGUCAAGUUUCGCACUAAAGAAAUUAAGAAGAAAUUGUUCAGUGAUUGUCCAUGUGGUCUAGUGCCAGGCGCCAGUACAUCUAAUCGAAUAAUUGGAGGCGAAAUUGCUGAGCCUCACUCAUACCCUUGGCUAGUAAGAAUAUAUGGAGGCUGUCCCGCUCAAUUUUGUACAGGGGCCUUAAUCAGUGAUCGUCAUGUUUUGACUGCAUUUCAUUGCCUAUCUACAUUUGAUACCAAAGAUCCGUGUGAUCAUUCUGAUGGGAAGAGAUUGGCCGCAGUAGGAAUUGACUAUUUUGAGAUGAAACAAAGCUGGAAAAGACUUGGUGGAAUACCACUGAAAAAAUUCUACUACCCCCCUAACCCUGGUCUUGAUAGAGAGGACCCAAAAACGCAUGACUUGGCUAUUUAUGAGCUUGAAACUCCUGUAAAGUUUUCUAAAAACAUUCAGCCCAUCUGUUUACCAAAGAAUGGAUAUAAAAACUAUACUGGACUAUUAGCAGUUACAGCUGGUUGGGGGGAUUUCAGAGCGGGUAGGAAUCCAAAUUCUGAAAUUUUACGUGAAGUUGAAUUAGAGAUUGCUCCACCUAUAGGGUUCCCUUCGCUGUUCAGCACAAUAACAGAGAAGAAUGACUAUGGAGUUUAUAAGCGUGUAGGAUCCGUGUUCAGGGGAUAGCGGAGCCCCUCUUAUGCUCAAGAAUGAGAAUAAUCAAUAUAGAAUAAUUGGAACUGUUAACGGAGGUGGAUACCAUUGUGAUGAAAAUACACUUCA